GACGAUUGCAACUGCUGAGAUUCCUAUGCGUGCUGAUACUUCAUUUUACGGUUAGUAAAGUGAGUACUACUGGAAGUGAAUGUCAUCAUUUCGGAGUAUGAUAAUGGAAGUGCAUCAUCAAGAGCAGGGGGCUAGACUGAUGGGUAGAACAUUGGAUUCAAUCGAGGGAUAAGCAACAUCAUACUUGGUUGUUUUUUUGAAUGAAUACCAAACGAGUUAUUCACUGUUAUUCGUUUCAUUCUUCUAGGUUGAACUGUAUUUGUCCCAAGGAAUAAUGCAAAGCUGGAAUUACAAAGUCCUUGCAGUAUGUGUCAGAUGUUAUUAUCAGACCUCUGUGUACCUUGGCGGAGAGUCGGUGUCGGUGUUUCGCCAGACAAGGCCCAGCAGCCCGCCGCAAGCAUAUUGUUGCUCUACUUUUGGAAACGACACGGAGAGGGGAAAAAAUCAUGCUGCGUCAAACAUGUGUCUACUCAAGGAAUGCAGUCAUUCCACAAACCAUGGAUAUGAAAUUCCAAUCAGCUCAAGACUUGGAGGCCUAAACUGAAAGAAUUAUAACCAUGGAAUCCUAAAUGCGUCCAUCAACUUUAGUAGAUCUCAUAAGAGCUCGAAGUCUUUCAAUCAUUCUAUUAUGCCGGCCAACACAUUUGGUAUUUGGAUUCCUGGGACCAAAAUACGGAGGAAUAUCAUGGAAAACUCCUUCAAAAAUAAUCGGGAUCAUCAUCUCACAUUUUGAGAAAACU
rnacentral:lncRNA from 1 species